UUUAUGGAGAGUUUGAUCCUGGCUCAGAGUGAACGCUGGCGGCGUGCCUAAUACAUGCAAGUCGAACGAUGAAGCUUCUAGCUUGCUAGAAGUGGAUUAGUGGCGCACGGGUGAGUAACGCAUAGGUCAUGUGCCUCUUAGUUUGGGAUAGCCAUUGGAAACGAUGAUUAAUACCAGAUACUCCCUACGGGGGAAAGAUUUAUCGCUAAGAGAUCAGCCUAUGUCCUAUCAGCUUGUUGGUAAGGUAAUGGCUUACCAAGGCUAUGACGGGUAUCCGGCCUGAGAGGGUGAACGGACACACUGGAACUGAGACACGGUCCAGACUCCUACGGGAGGCAGCAGUAGGGAAUAUUGCUCAAUGGGGGAAACCCUGAAGCAGCAACGCCGCGUGGAGGAUGAAGGUUUUAGGAUUGUAAACUCCUUUUGUUAGAGAAGAUAAUGACGGUAUCUAACGAAUAAGCACCGGCUAACUCCGUGCCAGCAGCCGCGGUAAUACGGAGGGUGCAAGCGUUACUCGGAAUCACUGGGCGUAAAGAGCGCGUAGGCGGGAUAGUCAGUCAGGUGUGAAAUCCUAUGGCUUAACCAUAGAACUGCAUUUGAAACUACUAUUCUAGAGUGUGGGAGAGGUAGGUGGAAUUCUUGGUGUAGGGGUAAAAUCCGUAGAGAUCAAGAGGAAUACUCAUUGCGAAGGCGACCUGCUGGAACAUUACUGACGCUGAUUGCGCGAAAGCGUGGGGAGCAAACAGGAUUAGAUACCCUGGUAGUCCACGCCCUAAACGAUGGAUGCUAGUUGUUGGAGGGCUUAGUCUCUCCAGUAAUGCAGCUAACGCAUUAAGCAUCCCGCCUGGGGAGUACGGUCGCAAGAUUAAAACUCAAAGGAAUAGACGGGGACCCGCACAAGCGGUGGAGCAUGUGGUUUAAUUCGAAGAUACACGAAGAACCUUACCUAGGCUUGACAUUGAGAGAAUCCGCUAGAAAUAGUGGAGUGUCUGGCUUGCUAGACCUUGAAAACAGGUGCUGCACGGCUGUCGUCAGCUCGUGUCGUGAGAUGUUGGGUUAAGUCCCGCAACGAGCGCAACCCCCUUUCUUAGUUGCUAACAGGUCAUGCUGAGAACUCUAAGGAUACUGCCUCCGUAAGGAGGAGGAAGGUGGGGACGACGUCAAGUCAUCAUGGCCCUUACGCCUAGGGCUACACACGUGCUACAAUGGGGUGCACAAAGAGAAGCAAUACUGCGAAGUGGAGCCAAUCUUCAAAACACCUCUCAGUUCGGAUUGUAGGCUGCAACUCGCCUGCAUGAAGCUGGAAUCGCUAGUAAUCGCAAAUCAGCCAUGUUGCGGUGAAUACGUUCCCGGGUCUUGUACUCACCGCCCGUCACACCAUGGGAGUUGUGUUUGCCUUAAGUCAGGAUGCUAAAUUAGCUACUGCCCACGGCACACACAGCGACUGGGGUGAAGUCGUAACAAGGUAACCGUAGGUGAACCUGCGGUUGGAUCACCUCCUUU
rnacentral:rRNA from 1 species